CUGGAAUCUUCAGUGCUACACUAUCCUCUGCUUUGUCUCUGCUCUCAAAGUCUUCCAGUAUAGUCCCUGGCUAUCCCUGUUGGGUUUCCCGCCUUGCCUGCUCAUCAUGUUUCUCCUCACCUGGUGGCCAGCACUGAUAGCUGUAGUACCCAUUUUUCUUCUGCUACUUUACAGCUUCCACAGGAAGCCUGGCCUCUCAGUGUUUGGUAAUGACUGGACCAACCAGUUAACGACUAGCUCUGAUGAACUUUGUGGACGCCUUUACCAAGAUCAGUCUUAUGAUGUAUGGGAAUGUAGCCUCGGUAAAUGGAGACAUGGGAUGUAGGAAAAGAAAUAGAAGUACUGAAUAAAAGGAGACCCGAGACAUUCAGGAUUCAGAGGACCAUGUGAAAGGGUUGAAUGCACGGAAGAUCCAUUCCUUUUACACAGCCAUCUCUGCACUGGAGCUUCGAGCUGGGGCACAGAGUCUCAUGCAGGUGAGUGCUAAGGACUA
rnacentral:lncRNA from 1 species